rnacentral:tRNA from 1 species
GCUGGGUUCGCCUAGAGGUAUGGCGGUAGGUUGCUAACCUACUUGGGAGUAAUCCCUACACGAGUUCGAUUCUCGUACCCAGCG